GCAAGAUGGAAAGCCAGUGAUUUUUGGUCCCUCAGGAGCAGAUGAAGGGUCAAGAGAGCAUGCUCACUGAGACGCGCUCGGCUCCCGCGAAAUCCUGCCCCCAAAUUUGAACGGAAGGGAGGGGAAGUUACAGGACUGACUCUUGUGUUACACUUCUGUGUUUCACUCUCACCCUGCGUGGCUUUCUAUCUGCACCCGUGGCUUUGCGUAUGGAGGGAUGAAAAGGUAAACGUGGAUUACACAGAAGAGGAUGGACAGGACGCUGACAGGAAGCAAAACAAGAUGUAAUUGAAAUUUACUCCUCGUAUGAGAUCUACAGGUCUGCUGAUCCAAUGGCAGCGCUGAACUAUGCUGUGCCAGAUGACGUUUUUUGUGGGC